UCCUGGUUUCCCAGGCAGUCUCGCUAGAGUGCUCUCCGAAGAGUAGCAACUAACGAUAGGGGUUGCGCUCGUUAAAGGACUUAACCCAACAUCUCACGACACGAGCUGACGACAGCCAUGCAGCACCUGUGUAACUGUCUGUGUUUCCACAAAAGAUGCUAUCUCUAGCACUGUCAAUUACAUGUCAAGCCCAGGUAAGGUUCCUCGCGUAGUGUCGAAUUAAACCACAUGUUCCACCGCUUGUGCGGACCCCCGUCAAUUUCUUUGAGUUUUAAUCUUGCGACCGUACUCCCCAGGCGGAUCACUUAACGCGUUAGCUUCGAUACUGAACUAGCUAUGCCAGUCCAACAUCUAGUGAUCAUCGUUUACGGCGUGGACUAC
rnacentral:misc_RNA from 1 species